AUUGAACGCUGGCGGCAGGCUUAACACAUGCAAGUCGAACGAGUGGCGGACGGGUGAGUAAUGCAUGGGAAACUAGCUGAUGGAGGGGGAUAACUACGGGAAACGGUAGCUAAUACCGCAUACCAUCGGAUGAGCCCAGGUGGGAUUAGGUAGUUGGUGGGGUAAAGGCUCACCAAGCCGACGAUCCCUAGCUGGUCUGAGAGGAUGACCAGCCACACUGGGACUGAGACACGGCCCAGACUCCUACGUGAGGCAGCAGUGGGGAAUAUUGCACAAUGGGGGCAACCCUGAUGCAGCCAUGCCGCGUGUAUGAAGAAGGCCUUCGGGUUGUAAAGUACUUUCAGCGGCGAGGCGUUAACUGCAGAAGAAGCACCGGCUAACUCCGUGCCAGCAGCCGCGGUAAUUC
rnacentral:rRNA from 1 species